AGUGAACGCUGGCGGCGUGCCUAAUACAUGCAAGUCGAACGGAGUGGCGCACGGGUGAGUAAUAUAUAGCUAAUCUGCCCCUUGCUGGAGGACAACAGUUAGAAAUGACUGCUAAUACUCCAUAGCAAGGGAUGAGACUAUAUCGUAUUAGCUAGUCGGUGGGGUAACGGCCUACCGAGGCUAUGAAGCGUAACUGGUCUGAGAGGAUGAUCAGUCACAUUGGAACUGAGGCACCGGUCAAACUCCUUCGGCAAGCGGCAGUAGGGUAUAUUGCGCAAGGCGGGUAACCGUGACGCAGCAACGCCGCGUAGAGUAUUACACUUUGCGGAGCGUAAACUCCUUUUGUUAGCGAAGCGGUACCUAACGAAUAAGCACCGGCUAACUCCGUGCCAGCAGCCGCGGUAAUUC
rnacentral:rRNA from 1 species